rnacentral:siRNA from 1 species
UAUCUUCAAUUUUCUCAGACUUGC